rnacentral:sRNA from 1 species
UUACUCUCGAGUAUGACUGGAAAACUACCACAAAAGGACAAUUGCAACUGGAGAUAUCGUAUAUCGGCCAAAACAAUGACCUGAAGGACCAAACAUCGAUUACGGUAGUAUUGCUUGUGGCCCGGCCAACAACAGUAUUAGACAACCACUUCAUUCAUCUCCAUCAUUCUUCAUGAAGGGCUCACUUCUCCUUUUUAGUAGUACAAAAUAAUCGACGCAUCUACUAUAAAUUAUUCUCGUGUAAAAGGUUUAAUUUGUGUAUAUAUGCAAUAAUCCCAAUGGCAUGAACAGAACAGAAAGACGGCAACCUUUCAAACCACCGUAC